rnacentral:tRNA from 1 species
CGGGGAGUAGCGCAGCCUGGUAGCGCGCUUGCUUCGGGAGCAAGAGGGCGGGGGUUCAAAUCCCCUCUCCCCGA